GACGAACGCUGGCGGCGUGCUUAACACAUGCAAGUCGAACGAAGUGGCGAACGGGUGAGUAACGCGUAAUCAACCUGCCCUUCAGAGGGGGACAACAGUUGGAAACGACUGCUAAUACCGCAUACUGAAGUAGGGGAUUGCGUCUGUUGAGAUAGUGGGAGGGGUAGCGGCCCACCAAGGGGAUGCACAGUGGCCGGCCUGAGAGAUGGAACGGGCACAUUGGGAGUGGGACACGGCCCGGACUCCUACGGGGGGCAGCAGUGGGGAAUCGUCCGCAAUGGACGUAAGUCUGACGGAGCAACGCCGCGUGAGUGAUGACGGCCUGCGGGUUGUAAAGCUCUGUUAAUCGGGACGCGGUACCGGAAUAGAAAGCCACGGCUAACUACGUGCCAGCAGCCGCGGUAAUUC
rnacentral:rRNA from 1 species